rnacentral:rRNA from 1 species
AUUGAACGCUGGCGGCAGGCCUAACACAUGCAAGUCGAACGAGUGGCGGACGGGUGAGUAAUGUCUGGGCAACUGCCCGAUGGAGGGGGAUAACUACUGGAAACGGUAGCUAAUACCGCAUACCAUCGGAUUUGCCCAGAUGGGAUUAGCUAGUUGGGGGGGUAACGGCUCACAUAGGCGACGAUCCCUAGCUGGUCGGAGAGGAUGACCAGCCACACUGGAACUGAGAAACGGUCCAGAUUCCUACGGGAGGAAGCAGUGGGGAAUAUUGCAAAAGGGGCGAAAGCCUGAUACAGCAAGGCGGCGUGUAUGAAGAAGGCUUUCGGGUUGUAAAGUACUUUCAGCGAGGAGGCGUUACUCGAAGAGGAAGCAACGGCUAACUCCGUGCCAGCAGCCGCGGUAAUAC